AUGUCGGUGACGCUGCACACGAACCUGGGGGACAUCAAGGUGGAGGUUUUCUGCGACCAGGUGCCGCGGACGGCGGAGAACUUUUUAGCCCUGUGCGCGAGCGGCUACUACGACGGCACCGUCUUCCACCGCAACAUCAAGGGGUUCAUGGUGCAGGGCGGCGACCCGACGGGCACCGGCAAGGGCGGCGCCUCGAUCUGGGGCGGCAAGUUCGCGGACGAGUUCCGGGAGGCGCUCAAGCACGGCGCCCGGGGCACCCUGUCCAUGGCCAACUCCGGGCCCAACACCAACGGCAGCCAGUUCUUCAUCACCUACGCCAAGCAGCCCCACCUCAACGGCCACUACACCGUGUUCGCCAAGGUCAUCCACGGCUUCGACGUGCUCGACCUCAUGGAGAAGACCCCCACCGGCCCCGCCGACCGCCCCCUCGCCGAGAUCAGGCUCAACCGCGUCACCGUCCACGCCAACCCCCUCGCCGGGUAG
rnacentral:rRNA from 1 species